GCGGACGUAGUUCAGCCCGGUUAGAACGCCUCACUGUCACUGAGGAGGCCGUGGGUUCAAAUCCCAUCGUCCGCGCCA
rnacentral:tRNA from 1 species